rnacentral:rRNA from 1 species
CCUACGGGGGGCAGCAGUGAGGAAUAUUGGUCAAUGGGCGGAAGCCUGAACCAGCCAAGUCGCGUGAGGGAUUAAGGCCCUAUGGGUUGUAAACCUCUUUUGUCAGGGAGCAAGGCCUGUCACGUGCGGGCGGAUGGAGAGUACCCGAAGAAAAAGCAUCGGCUAACUCCGUGCCAGCAGCCGCGGUAAUACGGAGGAUGCGAGCGUUAUCCGGAUUUAUUGGGUUUAAAGGGUGCGCAGGCGGGCCAUUAAGUCAGCGGUAAAAUUGCGGGGCUCAACCCCCUCCAGCCGUUUAAACUGGGGGC